GUACGCAUUCUGCACCUGCACAGAUGCUCCAUUUCUUUUCACAGAGCUGGACAUGGCAGACAUCAGGAAAUGGUGGUGCAUUUCCCUGAUGGAACGUUUCCAGAUCGAUGGCCACGGACGGAGGCUUGCAUACUGGACCAAGGAGGCACGAGCAUUGCUCGCAGGGUUGCUGGAGCCAGUGUUCAGGGUCCAAAAAGGCCAGAAAGACUGAACAUAAGGUUCAGUCUGAGAAGUCCGACCUGUGCUUCAUUUCGGAGUGAGGGGUUGAGCGAGAGAAGGAAGACGCUCUCUGCGAGCCAGAGAGAGCUUAGCUAGACCACAGGACGGACUGAACGAACAUUCGUCGUUGUCCAUUUGUUCAUGUACAUUGUGUUUAUUUGCCAUGAACGGGAAAUAAACCGGAGUUCGCUUCAUUUUCACCAAGAACUGUGUCCUGACUCAUUGGAACCCGUUACAGCCCCAUUGCGUUUGAAACUGUGUUGUUAUCUAUGAAAUCUUCUUGAUCUUGCCUGACAUAUAUUUUACAGUUGCCAAAGUCAGUGCUGUCUGACAUCCUCACUGAGGUGGUACUCCAAGAGGGAGAUAAAGCUUACCCAACUCUGGCUCUGGUGUGUUCCACCUUCAGGGACAUAGUGUCCACUGACAAGUUCAAAAGACAGGCACAUUUUCUGUGGCUCAACAGUAAGUGCUUCAGUGAAGGGUGCAUCAGUGUACAAUAUCCUAAUUUAAUAUAAUGUAAUGUCCUGUGGGGUCUAUACAUGUUUUUACUGCUCUAUAAAAAUAAAUGUGCUCUUUCAUCUUACACUUUGUUUGUCACAGGCGUCACUACAUGGUAGUAUCCGCCAACUCCAGAGCAGAGUUCUACACCAUGUACAGUAUUGGGACCUGCAUGGCAUGUGGUCGGCUCUACAAAGUCUGCACAGGUUCUUAACUUCGAUAAUAGGGACUUUAAGCAGCAAUGUUUUAUGGGAGGCAACGGCAUCGGGUUGCCGUAAUAUAACUCAAGUGUCACUUAGCCACUCUCUACUUGCUUGACAAAACACCCAUUCCUCCUUAUAAACAGACGGGACUACUGGAACAGGAGGUGAUAACAUAAAUUCCAGAAUGCCAUAAGUUGUUCUCGAGGUAGCCCUCCACUCAACGGUUGCUGCUCCAAGUCACUAAUCUUAUGCGUCAGUACAAGUGUUGAGGUCAUACCUGUAUAAACCGCAUGCAAAGUGUGUGGUUAGACUGAUUUCAUUUUUUAUUUCUGUUUUAGGAUAUAUUACAGGUACAGGGAAAAGAGGCAAACUGGAAGGAAUAUAUUCCGACAGCUACGACGGGGGGUACUGUGAUGACAUCUGCCGUCCAAGAUCAUAGGUACAUUUAAGUUGUAAAUAUGGAUACAAAUCCCUGACGAGACUAAUUGUAUGAAGUUGAAGGUCUCAAGAUAAAUACAUCUGCACACCUCUGCUUCUUUCAGAUGGCAUUCUCCCCCCCCCCCCCCCCCCCCCUAAAAAAAUCUAUUUUCAAGGAAUAGGAUGAAAAACUAAUCUGAACACAUUCAUCCUCAAUUCACCAUGGGAUCUAAACAUGCAGUUUUUUAUGGAUUUACAUUUAGCUGUUCCUCAGUUGUAUCAAUGUUUUGUCUUAUUUAUUCUGUUU